AGUCAGUGUCUGAAAAAGCAGUCACAGUAAAAUCUCGAUUGUCAGAAUAGAAUAGCCCCAAAUCCAUAGUAGCUUUAAAAUACCUUAGAACAUGCAGAGCAGCAGACAUGUGAGGGAUUCUGGGAGCUUUCAAAAACUAACUUAAAUGUUGCACAGCAAAACAUAUGUCGGGUCGGGUAUUAGUCAAGAAGAGGAGCUUGCCAAUCAAGCUCAUGUAAUGGUCAGGAGAAGGAAAAAGAUCAUCAGAGUCAGCAUGCAAUUUAGUAUGUAGGUCCAAAGGACAGACUACAGGGGAAACAGCCAUACAAUCAAACUGAUGCAGCAAAUCAGAAAUAAACUUGUGCUGAUUAAGAAGAACACCACCAGCAAUGGAGGACACCUCAAUACCCAGAAAAUAGUGCAAAGAACCAAGGUCUUUGAUUCUGAAUUGGUCAUCCAGGAAAGCCUUGAGGGCGAAGAACACCACCAGCAAUGGAGGACACCUCAAUAUCCAGAAAAUAGUGCAAAGAACCGAGGUCUUUGAUUCUGAAUUGGUCAUCCAGGAAACCCUUGAAGGCAGAAAUUUCAGCAACAUGAUCCCCAGUGAUAAUAAUGUCAUCUACAUACACAGCCAGGACCACAAGACACCCAGGUUGACCGGUCAUCCAGGAAAGCCUUGAGGGCAGAAAUUUCAGCAACAUCAUCCCCAGUGAUAAUAAUGGCAUCUACAUACACAGUCAGGACCACAAGACACCCAGGUUGACCCUUGACAAAUAAAGAAUAAUCAUUCAUAGAAUGAACAUAACCUCUGGAAUAGAGGGCCUGAGAUAGCUUGGCAUACCAUUGUCUGGAAGCUUGUCUCUUGCCACAAAGUGACUUCCGUAAUUUGCACACAAGAGGGGCUGAGGAAGAAGAACCAGAAGGGGCAGAAACACAUAAACUUGGGGGAAGCUUCAUAUAGACCUCCUCAUCAAGAUCACCAUGUAAGAAUGCAUUAUUGACAUCAAGUUGGAAAAGACCCCAAUGUUUCUUAACAGCCAAAGCAAUCUGACACUUAACAGUAGACAGCUUGACCACAGGAGAGAAUGUUUCAGUGAAGUCAAUACCUUUCGAUUUGAGUAUCACCCCUAAUUACAAGCCUAGCUUUGUAUCUUCUAAUAGUACCAUCAGCUUUAUAUUUAAUCUUAUAUACCUACUUGCAUUCUAUGGGCUUUUUUCUAGAAGGAAGUGGAACAAUGUCCCAAGUAUGGUUGGCAUCCAAAGCCUCAAACUCCUUGCUCAUGGCAUCCUGCCAAGCUGGGACAGAGGCAGCUUGAGAAUAAAAGAGGGGUUCAAACUCCAAAGGAGAAGAACAGGAAGUGGAACCAGAAAAGAAAGGCAAGUGACAAACAUAAUCAUUGAGAUAAGAUGGAGGAUUAUGUGAUCUGCCAGAUCUUCUGUAUCCAGUAGGAACAACAGAAGAAGAAGUAGGGAAAGAAGGAGGAGGAACAGGAGGAGAGGAAAGAGAGGAAGGGAGUGAAGGAGAAGCUGGGCUGGAAGCAGAAGGGGAAGAAACAGGAGGAGAAGAACAAGGGAAAGUAGGCAGGACAAAAUCAGAACAAGGAAUAUCAGAGGAAGGAACAGGAGGAGGAGGAAAAACAGAAGCAUGAGGAGGGACAGAAAAAGUAGAUUGAAAAGGAAAACAGGUUUCAUGAAAGACAACAUCUCUGGACACAAAAUACUUUUUAGUAGUUAGGUCAUACAGCCUGUAGCCCUUUUUGGCAAAGGGAUAUCCCAGAAAAACACAAGACAAAGCUCUAGGUUGAAGUUUAUCUCUUUGUGGAAUAGGUACAGUGGCAUAGGCAAGACAGCCAAAAGCCCUUAAAUGAAAAUAAGUAGGGGCUUGGCCAUGCAAUAUUUCAUAAGGAGACUUAUUGUGAAGAAGUAUGGAGGGAAUCCUAUUAAGCAAGUAGGUGGCAGUCAAUAGGCAAUCCACCCAAAAAUGAAUAGGUAAAUUGGAUUGAAAAAUCAAAGCUCUACAUGCUUCAAGAAGGGUUCUAUGUUUUCUUUCCACAACACCAUUUUAUUGGGGAGUAUGGGGACAGGUAGUUUGAUGAAUGAUGCCUUGUUGAUUAAAGAAAGAAACACCAGCAAGACUACACCCUAAUUCAAAAGCAUUAUCACUUCUGACAGUUUGUACAGCGGCAUUAAAUUGUGUUUUGACCAUACAUAUAAAGGACUUGAUAAGGUUGAAAGCAUUACUGUUAGACCCCCAGUAAAUGUGUCCAGUUUGCUCUAGAGAAAUCAUCAACAAUAGUAAGGAAAUAUUUACAACCAGAAGAGGUAGGGGUGUGAUAAGGGCCCCAAGUAUCAACAUGAAUAAGCUGGAAAGGUCUACAGGUACUGAUGGAACUGUCAGGAAAAGGGAGUCUAGUU
rnacentral:lncRNA from 1 species